rnacentral:rRNA from 1 species
CCUACGGGAGGCAGCAGUGAGGAAUAUUGGUCAAUGGACGAGAGUCUGAACCAGCCAAGUAGCGUGAAGGAUGACUGCCCUAUGGGUUGUAAACUUCUUUUAUAUGGGAAUAAAAUGUUCCACGUGUGGGAUUUUGUAUGUACCAUAUGAAUAAGGAUCGGCUAACUCCGUGCCAGCAGCCGCGGUAAUACGGAGGAUCCGAGCGUUAUCCGGAUUUAUUGGGUUUAAAGGGAGCGUAGGUGGGUUGUUAAGUCAGUUGUGAAAGUUUGCGGCUCAACCGUAAAAUUGCAGUUGAGACUGGCAGUCUAGAGUACAGUAGAGGUGGGCGGAAUUCGUGGUGAAGCGGUGAAAUGCUUAGAUAUAACGAAGAACUCCGAAUGCGAAGGCAGCUCACUGGACUGCAACUGACACUGAGGCUCGAAAGUGUGGGUAUCAAACAGGAUUAGAUACCCCUGUAGUC